rnacentral:rRNA from 1 species
AUGGAGGUGGUGGAUCUAGAGGACGACGAGCGGGAGGAGCCAGAGGACGAGCUGGCAUCGGCUAUAGGUUUCGGCAUGGAGGACGCGGAGCCGGACUUUGCGGUCGCCCAAGUGGCAGAGAUGACGGAGCACCAGGCCACCCUGGAGUCCAUCCGGGAUGUGGCCUAUGUCGAUUCCAACCGGCGGUUCAUCCAGCAAGAACGGGUGGCGACCGGCGCGCUUUUCGUCGAACUUGACGCGGAGUCAAAGGUGGAGGACAAGGCGGAGCAACAGGAGGAGCCGCAGGAGCUGGAGUUCCGGCUGCCGCCCAUGUACUCAGAGCCGGGCACGGAGAUAAUGCACAUCUCCGACGAGAAUUAG